rnacentral:rRNA from 1 species
GAUGAACGCUGGCGGCGUGCCUAAUACAUGCAAGUCGAGCGAACGGACGAGAAGCUUGCUUUUCUGAUGUUAGCGGCGGACGGGUGAGUAACACGUGGAUAACCUACCUAUAAGACUGGGAUAACUUCGGGAAACCGGAGCUAAUACCGGAUAAUAUUUUGAACCGCAUGGCUCAAAAGUGAAAGACGGUCUUGCUGUCACUUAUAGAUGGAUCCGCGCUGCAUUAGCUAGUUGGUAAGGUAACGGCUUACCAAGGCAACGAUGCAUAGCCGACCUGAGAGGGUGAUAGCCCCCACACGAACUGUGACACGGUCCACACUCCUCUGGGAGGCAGCAGAAGGGAAUCUUCCGCAAAGUGCGAAAGACUGUCGCAGCAACGCCGCGUGAGUGAUGAAGGUCUUCGGAUCGUAUAACUCUCUUUUUAGGGAAAAACACAUGUGUAAGUAACUGUGCACAUCUUGACGGUACCUAAUCAGAAAGCCACGGCUAACUACGUG